UGAAUACGAGGCACUAAGGUGCUGAAGUAGUGUAUGUCAUACUUCCAAGAAAAGCUUGCACUAUCGUAAGAUAAAAAUGCCUGUACCAUAACCGACACAGGUGGGUAGGUAGAGUAUACUAAGGGGCGCGAGAUAACUCUCUCUAAGGAACUCGGCAAAAUAACUCCGUAACUUCGGGAGAAGGAGUGCCUUAUUCUAUAAGGUUGCAAUAACAAGAUCCAAGCAACUGUUUAUCAAAAACACAGGUCUCCGCUAAGUCGUAAGACGAUGUAUGGGGGCUGACGCCUGCCCAGUGCCAGAAGGUUAAAGAAGUCGGUUAGCAAUUGCGAAGCUGGUAACUGAAGCCCUGGUGAACGGCGGCCGUAACAAUAACGGUCCUAAGGUAGCGAAAUUCCUUGUCGGGUAAGUUCCGACCCGCACGAAAGGCGUAAUGAUUUGGAUACUGUCUCGGAGAGGGACUCGGUGAAAUAGACUUGUCUGUGAAGAUGCGGACUACCUGCACCAGGACAGAAAGACCCUAUGAAGCUUUACUGUAACUUGAAAUUGAAAUUGGACUUUAUUCGCGCAGUAUAGGUGGGAGGCGUUGAUUAUAAUCUUGUGGGAUUAUUGGAGCCAUUAGUGAGAUACCACUCUUGUAAUGUUAGAUUUCUAACUUUGAAUCAUGAUCUGGUCAAAGAACAGUUUCAGGCGGGCAGUUUGACUGGGGCGGUCGCCUCCUAAAUGGUAACGGAGGCGUACAAAGGUUUCCUCUGAACGGGUAGAAAUCGUAUCUAGAGUGUAAAGGCAUAAGGAAGCUUGACUGUGAGACCUACAAGUCGAGCAGGGACGAAAGUCGGUCUUAGUGAUCUGACGGUACUGAGUGGAAAGGCCGUCACUCAACGGAUAAAAGUUACUCUAGGAUAACAGGCUGAUCUCCCCCAAGAGUUCACAUCGACGGGGAGGUUUGGCACCUCGAUGUCGGCUCAUCGCAUCCUGGGGCGGUAGUACGUCCCAAGGGUUGGGCUGUUCGCCCAUGAAAGCGGUACGCGAGCUGGGUUCAGAACGUCGUGAGACAGUUCGGUCCAUAUCCGGUGUAGGCGUUAGAAUAUUGAGAGGAGCCUUCUUUAGUACGAGAGGACCGAGAAGGACAUACCUCUGGUGUACCAGUUAUCGUGCCAACGGUAAACGCUGGGUAGCUAUGUAUGGAGUGGAUAACCGCUGAAAGCAUCUAAGUGGGAAGCCCACCUCAAGAUAAGUAUUCUCAC
rnacentral:rRNA from 1 species